GGAAUUUUCCGCAAUGGGCGAAAGCCUGACGGAGCAACGCCGCGUGAGGGAUGAAGGCCUCUGGGCUGUAAACCUCUUUUAUCAAGGAAGAAGAUCUGACGGUACUUGAUGAAUAAGCCACGGCUAAUUCCGUGCCAGCAGCCGCGGUAAUACGGGAGUGGCAAGCGUUAUCCGGAAUUAUUGGGCGUAAAGCGUCCGCAGGCGGCUUUGUAAGUCUGUUGUUAAAGCGUGGAGCUUAACUCCAUUUAAGCAAUGGAAACUGCAAGGCUUGAGUGUGGUAGGGGCAGAGGGAAUUCCCGGUGUAGCGGUGAAAUGCGUAGAUAUCGGGAAGAACACCAGUGGCGAAGGCGCUCUGCUGGGCCAUAACUGACGCUCAUGGACGAAAGCCAGGGGAGCGAAAGGGAUUAGAUACCCCUGUAGUC
rnacentral:rRNA from 1 species